UACGUAGGGUGCGAGCGUUGCCCGGAUUUACUGGGCGUAAAGGGCGCGCAGGCGGCUCAUUUUGUCAGGCGUGAAAGCCCCGGGCUUAACCUGGGAACUGCGUUUGAUACGGAUGGGCUAGAGUUCGGGAGAGGAGAGUGGAAUUCCCAGUGUAGCGGUGAAAUGCGUAGAUAUUGGGAGGAACACCAGUGGCGAAGGCGGCUCACUGGACCGGUACUGACGCUGAUGCGCGAAAGCGUGGGGAGCAAACGGG
rnacentral:rRNA from 1 species